ACGCUGGCGGCGUGCCUAAUACAUGCAAGUCGAGCGGACCUUUUAAAAGCUUGCUUUUGAAAGGUCAGCGGCGGACGGGUGAGUAACACGUGGGCAACCUGCCUGUAAGACUGGGAUAACUUCGGGAAACCGGAGCUAAUACCGGAUAAUAUAAGGAACCUCCUGGUUCUUUAUUGAAAGAUGGUUUCGGCUAUCACUUNCAGAUGGGCCCGCGGCGCAUUAGCUAGUUGGUGAGGUAACGGCUCACCAAGGCAACGAUGCGUAGCCGACCUGAGAGGGUGAUCGGCCACACUGGGACUGAGACACGGCCCAGACUCCUACGGGAGGCAGCAGUAGGGAAUCUUCCACAAUGGACGAAAGUCUGAUGGAGCAACGCCGCGUGAGCGAUGAAGGCCUUCGGGUCGUAAAGCUCUGUUGUUAGGGAAGAACAAGUGCGAGAGUAACUGCUCGCACCUUGACGGUACCUAACCAGAAAGCCACGGCUAACUACGUGCCAGCAGCCGCGGUAAUACGUAGGUGGCAAGCGUUGUCCGGAAUUAUUGGGCGUAAAGCGCGCGCAGGUGGUCCUUUAAGUCUGAUGUGAAAGCCCACGGCUCAACC
rnacentral:rRNA from 1 species